rnacentral:rRNA from 1 species
AUUGAACGCUGGCGGCAGGCCUAACACAUGCAAGUCGAACGAGCGGCGGACGGGUGAGUAAUGUCUGGGAAACUGCCUGAUGGAGGGGGCUAACUACUGGAAACGCUAGCUAAUACCGCAUACCAUCAGAUGUGCCCAGAUGGGAUUAGCUAGUAGGUGGGGUAACGGCUCACCUAGGCGACGAUCCCUAGCUGGUCUGAGCGGAUGACCAGCCACACUGGAACUGAGAAACGGGCCAGACUCCUACGGGAGGCAGCAGUGGGGAAUAUUGCACAAUGGGCGCAAGCCUGAUGCAGCCAUGCCGCGUGUAUGAAGAAGGCCUUCGGGUUGUAAAGCACUUUCAGCUGGGAGGCGUUACCCGCAGAAGAAGCACCGGCUAACUCCGUGCCAGCAGCCGCGGUAAUAC